UGUCUUGAAAUGGUGUGGCUAAAGGAUUCUUGAUGCAAACAAUUUCACUGGAGGGUUCCUUCUGACUCUCACUAAUCUCGCUGAACGAAGGAUUAGUAGCGACAACUUCACAAGAAAGAUACCUGAGUUUGGCAAUUGGUGAUACCUAUCUUGGAGUAUUUGAAAUGUCACAAUUAGGAAUGCAAGCAGUUUUAAAUCCCAGUGAGAUGUUUUUAAGUGAGGAGUAUUCAGGC